rnacentral:rRNA from 1 species
GAACGCGAAGAACCUUACCCGGGCUUGAACUAAGAGUGACAGAUUUAGAGAUAGAUCAUUCUUCGGACACUCUUGGAGGUGCUGCAUGGUUGUCGUCAGCUCGUGCCGUGAGGUGUCGGCUUAAGUGCCAUAACGAGCGCAACCCUUUUCCUUGGUUGCCAUCAGGUAAUGCUGGGCACUCCAGGGAUACUGCCAUCGUAAGAUGUGAGGAAGGUGGGGAUGACGUCAAAUCAGCACGGCCCUUACGUCCGGGGCUACACACGUGUUACAAUGGGGGGUACAGAAGGUCGCUACCUGGUGACAGGAUGCUAAUCUCAAAAACCUCUCUCAGUUCGGAUUGGAGUCUGCAACCCGACUCCAUGAAGCUGGAUUCGCUAGUAAUCGCGCAUCAGCCAUGGCGCGGUGAAUACGUUCCCGGGUCUUGUACACACC